rnacentral:rRNA from 1 species
CAGCAGCCACGGGAAUACAGAGGGUGCGAGCGUUAAUCGGAUUUACUGGGCGUAAAGCGUGCGUAGGCGGCUUUUUAAGUCGGAUGUGAAAUCCCUGAGCUUAACUUAGGAAUUGCAUUCGAUACUGGGAAGCUAGAGUAUGGGAGAGGAUGGUAGAAUUCCAGGUGUAGCGGUGAAAUGCGUAGAGAUCUGGAGGAAUACCGAUGGCGAAGGCAGCCAUCUGGCCUAAUACUGACGCUGAGGUACGAAAGCAUGGGGAGCAAACAGCAUUAGAUACCCGCGUAGUCCCUGUCUCUUAUAC